rnacentral:rRNA from 1 species
UACGGGGGGGGCAAGCGUUGUUCGGAAUUACUGGGCGUAAAGGGCUCGUAGGCGGCCAACUAAGUCAGACGUGAAAUCCCUCGGCUUAACCGGGGAACUGCGUCUGAUACUGGAUGGCUCGAGAUUGGGAGAGGGAUGCGGAAUUCCAGGUGUAGCGGUGAAAUGCGUAGAUAUCAGGAGGAACACCGGUGGCGAAGGCGGGUCUCUGGGCCGAUACUGACGCUGAGGAGCGAAAGCGUGGGGAGCGAACAGG